UUGGUCGGGNAACCACUGGAACGGUGGCUAAUACCGGAUGUGCCGAAAGGUGAAAGGCUUGCUGCCUGAAGAUGAGCUCGCGUCUGAUUAGCUAGUAGGUGGGGUAAGAGCCUACCUAGGCGACGAUCAGUAGCUGGUCUGAGAGGAUGAUCAGCCACACUGGGACUGAGACACGGCCCAGACUCCUACGGGAGGCAGCAGUGGGGAAUUUUCCGCAAUGGGCGAAAGCCUGACGGAGCAAUACCGCGUGAGGGAGGAAGGCUCUUGGGUUGUAAACCUCUUUUCUCAAGGAAGAACACAAUGACGGUACUUGAGGAAUCAGCAUCGGCUAACUCCGUGCCAGCAGCCGCGGUAAUACGGAGGAUGCAAGCGUUAUCCGGAAUGAUUGGGCGUAAAGCGUCCGCAGGUGGUGAUGUAAGUCUGCUGUCAAAGCGUCUAGCUCAACUAGAUACAGGCAGUGGAAACUACAUGACUAGAGUGCGUUCGGGGCAGAGGGAAUUCCUGGUGUAGCGGUGAAAUGCGUAGAUAUCAGGAAGAACACCGGUGGCGAAAGCGCUCUGCUAGGCCGCAACUGACACUGAGGGACGAAAGCUAGGGGAGCGAAAGGGAUUAGAUACCCCGUGGUAAUCAAAA
rnacentral:rRNA from 1 species